UACAGCAGCCUCAGCUAGGUGCCAUUUUGAGGCCUAGGUACCAGAGAUCUACAGACACAGUUGCUGCCAUUGUAUUGCUCCAAGGAGGGAGAGGGGAGACCAGGCACUUCCAUGCACCCCUGGAAGGGUCCCUGCUGCCCUGCUGCAGGCUGCUGUUGAGACUGAGGUGUACUCUUGAGAAGGGAUUCUGGCAGGAUAGGAAACUUGAGUGAGUCUCUUCAAUGGUACCAACAUUCUGGUCAUGAACAUCUGCAGCUGCGGUGGAACACGCACAAGGUCUCACCCACUUCUUUUAUAUGAAGCAAAAGUCUAAAGCUGCUGUGGAGAAGGCAAGGAAACCUCCUGCUUUCAGAGCACUGGCAAAGAUCCCUGCUUCUCAAAAGGAAAGACAGCAAAAGUUCUCGGCUACAGGGGUUAACUGUAAAACGGCCUCAGGCAGAUCCUUCAGGAGGUAUUCCAUAAGAAAGCAUUGUUAUCACAGAAGAAGACAGUUCCAUGCAUGUUUCUGACCCUGAAGAGCUUCUAGUGGGACAAGAUGUAGAAGAGAGUAGUACUGGUGAUCCUGACCCUACGUAGCCCUAGGCUCAUGUGUGUGUGUCUUCAUUUUUAAGAAAAAAGUUUUAAAACUAAAAGUAGAAAAAAAGCUUAUAGAAUAAGGGUAUAAAGAAAACAUUUUGUACAACUAUACAAUAUGUUUAUGUUUUAAGUUAAAUGUUACUACAAAAGAUUCAAAAAGCUUUAAAAAAUUAAGUUUAUAAAGUAAAAAUGUUAUAGUAAGGUAAGGUUGCUUUAUGAUUGAAGAAAGAAACAUCAUUUUACAAAGUUAG